AUACGGAGGAUCCGAGCGUUAUCCGGAUUUAUUGGGUUUAAAGGGUGCGCAGGCGGCCAUUUAAGUCAGCGGUUAAAUCGUGGGGCUCAACCCCAUUCUGCCGUUGAUACUGGUUGGCUUGAUUGCGGUCGAGGUUGGCGGAAUUCGUUGUGUAGCGGUGAAAUGCAUAGAUAUGACGAAGAACACCGAUUGCGUAGGCAGCUGACCAGACCGCAAAUGACGCUCAUGCACGAAAGUGCGGGGAUCGAACAGGAUUAGAUACCCUGGUAGUCCGCACAGUAAACGAUGAAUACUUGUUUUCGGCGAUAUAAUGUCGGAGGCAAAGCGAAAGCGAUAAGUAUUCCACCUGGGGAGUACGCCGGCAACGGUGAAACUCAAAUGAAUUGGCGGGG
rnacentral:rRNA from 1 species